GACGAACGCUGGCGGCGUGCUUAACACAUGCAAGUCGAACGCUGAAGCCCAGCUUGCUGGGUGGAUGAGUGGCGAACGGGUGAGUAACACGUGAGUAACCUGCCCCCUUCUUUGGGAUAACGCCCGGAAACGGGUGCUAAUACUGGAUAUUCACUGGCCUUCGCAUGGGGGUUGGUGGAAAGGUUUUUUCUGGUGGGGGAUGGGCUCGCGGCCUAUCAGCUUGUUGGUGGGGUGAUGGCCUACCAAGGCUUUGACGGGUAGCCGGCCUGAGAGGGUGACCGGUCACAUUGGGACUGAGAUACGGCCCAGACUCCUACGGGAGGCAGCAGUGGGGAAUAUUGCACAAUGGGCGAAAGCCUGAUGCAGCGACGCCGCGUGAGGGAUGACGGCCUUCGGGUUGUAAACCUCUUUCGCUCAUGGUCAAGCCGCAGCUUUGGGUUGUGGUGAGGGUAGUGGGUAAAGAAGCGCCGGCUAACUACGUGCCAGCAGCCGCGGUAAUACGUAGGGCGCGAGCGUUGUCCGGAAUUAUUGGGCGUAAAGGGCUUGUAGGCGGUUGGUCGCGUCUGCCGUGAAAUCCUCUGGCUUAACUGGGGGCGUGCGGUGGGUACGGGCUGACUUGAGUGCGGUAGGGGAGACUGGAACUCCUGGUGUAGCGGUGGAAUGCGCAGAUAUCAGGAAGAACACCGGUGGCGAAGGCGGGUCUCUGGGCCGUUACUGACGCUGGGGAGCGAAAGCGUGGGGAGCGAACAGG
rnacentral:rRNA from 1 species